GCGGACGGGUGAGUAACACGUAAAGAACCUGCCCUCAGGUCUGGGAUAACCACGAGAAAUCGGGGCUAAUACCGGAUGGGUCAUCGGACCGCAUGGUCCGAGGAUGAAAGGCGCUUCGGCGUCGCCUGGGGAUGGCUUUGCGGUGCAUUAGCUAGUUGGUGGGGUAAUGGCCCACCAAGGCGACGAUGCAUAGCCGACCUGAGAGGGUGAUCGGCCACACUGGGACUGAGACACGGCCCAGACUCCUACGGGAGGCAGCAGUAGGGAAUCUUCCACAAUGGACGAAAGUCUGAUGGAGCAACGCCGCGUGAACGAUGAAGGCCUUCGGGUCGUAAAGUUCUGUUGUAAGGGAAGAACAAGUGCCGCAGGCAAUGGCGGCACCUUGACGGUACCUUGCGAGAAAGCCACGGCUAACUACGUGCCAGCAGCCGCGGUAAUACGUAGGUGGCAAGCGUUGUCCGGAAUUAUUGGGCGUAAAGCGCGCGCAGGCGGCCUCUUAAGUCUGAUGUGAAAGCCCCCGGCUCAACCGGGGAGGGCCAUUGNAAACUGGGAGGCUUGAGUAUAGGAGAGAAGAGUGGAAUUCCACGUGUAGCGGUGAAAUGCGUAGAGAUGUGGAGGAACACCAGUGNCGAANGCGACUCUUUGGCCUAUAACUGACGCUGANGCGCGAAAGCGUGNGGAGCAAACAGGAUUAGAUACCCUGGNAGUCCACGCCGUANCGAUGANUGCUAGGUG
rnacentral:rRNA from 1 species